GCAUAUUAAUGAGGGGAGGAAAAGAAACUAACUAGGAUUUUCUUAGUAGCGGCGAGCGAAAAGAAAUUAGUUCAGCACUAAGUCACUUUGUUUAAUAUGGCAAAUGUGAGAUGCAGUGUAUGGAAUAUCUAUUUAUCUAAUAAAUAUAAUUGACGAUUUAAGUCCUUCUUAAAUGAGGCCAAUUACCCAUAGAGGGUGCCAGGCCCGUAAAACGUUUAAUAAUUAUUAGAAGAUGCUUUCCAAAGAGUCGUGUUGCUUGAUAGUGCAGCACUAAGUUGGUGGUAAACUCCAUCUAAAACUAAAUAUAACCAUGAGACCGACUAGUAAACAAGUACCGUGAGGGAAACGUUGAAAAGMACUACGACCAAGUCUCUGCUACCGUACGAGCGACGA
rnacentral:rRNA from 1 species